rnacentral:lncRNA from 1 species
ACAGUUAUUAUUAUCACUACUGCAAGGAGGCGUGUCCUCAAAUGCGUCAUAAUUUGUGGUGGUUUCGAUUCUCAGUUAAAGCCGUUAAACUUAAUCAAUUCACGUCGCUAAUUUCUCAAGGACAUCAGGCACUGACGUUACUGGUGCCCUUGAGAAAGAAUGAACAUUCUGUUUCCUUAAAAUAUCCAAAGGUCAGAGAAGUGUAAGAAAUAAAUAUUUUAUUUGUU